rnacentral:rRNA from 1 species
ACUUGUUCAGGCUUACUGGAUUGUCUGGGCAGGGAAGUAGUUCCAGGAAAUAACUCCAACGGAGACCGUACCCUAAACCGACACAGGUGGACAGGUAGAGUAUACCAAGGCGCUUGAGAGAACUAUGCUGAAGGAACUCGGCAAAUUGCACGCGUAACUUCGGGAUAAGCGUGACUCUGCUUAGGGCAACCUUUGUAGAGUGGCACAGGCCAGGGGGUAGCGACUGUUUAUUAAAAACACAGGGCUCUGCGAAGCCGCAAGGCGACGUAUAGGGUCUGACGCCUGCCCGGUGCCGGAAGGUUAAAAGGAGGGGUGCAAGCUCUUGAUUGAAGCCCCGGUAAACGGCGGCCGUAACUAUAACGGUCCUAAGGUAGCGAAAUUCCUUGUCGGGUAAGUUCCGACCUGCACGAAUGGCGUAACGAUGGCCACACUGUCUCCUCCUGAGACUCAGCGAAGUUGAAGUGUUUGUGAUGAUGCAAUCUACCCGCGGCUAGACGGAAAGACCCCAUGAACCUUUACUGUAGCUUUGCAUUGAUCUGUGAACCGGCCUGUGUAGGAUAGGUGGGAGGCUUUGAAGCGUAGUCGCUAGAUUACGUGGAGCCAUCCUUGAAAUACCACCCUGGUUUGUUUGCGGUUCUAACCUUGGUCCGUUAUCCGGAUCGGGGACAGUGCAUGGUGGGCAGUUUGACUGGGGCGGUCUCCUCCCAAAGUGUAACGGAGGAGUUCGAAGGUACGCUAGGUACGGUCGGAAAUCGUGCUGAUAGUGCAAUGGCAUAAGCGUGCUUGACUGUGAGACUGACAAGUCGAACAGGUGCGAAAGCAGGACAUAGUGAUCCGGUGGUUCUGCAUGGAAGGGCCAUCGCUCAACGGAUAAAAGGUACUCUGGGGAUAACAGGCUGAUACCGCCCAAGAGUUCAUAUCGACGGCGGUGUUUGGCACCUCGAUGUCGGCUCAUCUCAUCCUGGGGCUGUAGCCGGUCCCAAGGGUAUGGCUGUUCGCCAUUUAAAGAGGUACGUGAGCUGGGUUUAAAACGUCGUGAGACAGUUUGGUCCCUAUCUGCCGUGGGCGUUGGAUACUUGACGGAGCCUGCUCCUAGUACGAGAGGACCGGAGUGGACGUACCUCUGGUGUACCGGUUGUCACGCCAGUGGCAUUGCCGGGUAGCUAAGUACGGAAGAGAUAACCGCUGAAGGCAUCUAAGCGGGAAACUCGUCUGAAGAUAAGGUAUCCCGGGGACUUGAUCCCCCUGAAGGGUCGUUCGAGACCAGGACGUUGAUAGGUC